UACAGAGGGUGCGAGCGUUAAUCGGAAUUACUGGGCGUAAAGCGCGCGUAGGCGGCUUUGCAAGUCGGAUGUGAAAUCCCCAGGCUUAACCUGGGAACUGCAUUCGAGACUGCAUUGCUAGAGUAUGGGAGAGGGAAGUGGAAUUGCGAGUGUAGAGGUGAAAUUCGUAGAUAUUCGCAGGAACACCAGUGGCGAAGGCGGCUUACUGGUCCAUUACUGGACGACUGAGGCACGGAAAGCGAUGGGGGAGCAAACACGG
rnacentral:rRNA from 1 species